rnacentral:rRNA from 1 species
UACGUAGGGGGCAAGCGUUGUCCGGAAUCAUUGGGCGUAAAGCGCGCGUAGGCGGCCCGGUAAGUCCGCUGUGAAAGUCGGGGGCUCAACCCUCGAAUGCCGGUGGAUACUGUCGGGCUAGAGUGCGGAAGAGGCGAGUGGAAUUCCUGGUGUAGCGGUGAAAUGCGCAGAUAUCAGGAGGAACACCAAUUGCGAAGGCAGCUCGCUGGGACGUGACUGACGCUGAGACGCGAAAGCGUGGGAGCAACAGG